rnacentral:rRNA from 1 species
UGAAACACGGACCAAGGAGUCUAACAUGUGCGCGAGUCAUUGGGUGUUAAACCUAAAGGCGAAAUGAAAGUGAAGGUCGACUUGAUCGGCUGAUAUGGGAUCCGUUCGGUUUCGGCCGGACGGCGCACCAUAGCCCCAUCUUGACCGCUUGCGGUAGGGUGGCGGCAGACGUACACGUUGGGACCCGAAAGAUGGUGAACUAUGCCUGAGCAGGACGAAGCCAGAGGAAACUCUGGUGGAGGUCCGAAGCGGUUCUGACGUGCAAAUCGAUCGUCAGACUUGGGUAUAGGGGCGAAAGACUAAUCGAACCAUCUAGUAGCUGGUUCCCUCUGAAGUUUCCCCCAGGAUAGCUGGAGCUCGUAAGAGCAGUUGUAUCCGGUAAAGCGAAUGAUUAGAGGCCUUGGGGACGAAACGACC